CAGAAUAUAGUUUAUUAGAACUUCCACUUUGGGGGUGGAGAGAAACAAAUUCUGG
rnacentral:tRNA from 1 species